AGGGGGAGUGCCAGAUCCUGGGCUGUGUACCCCGGCGCCCUGUGCUCCGGAGCUUGUGCUGCUGGAUCGGCUCCCAGGCCGCAGCCCCCU
rnacentral:pre_miRNA from 1 species